rnacentral:ncRNA from 1 species
AAUCGGCAAAAUGGUCGAAAGACCAUGACGCAAAGCUCUGGUGUCUAAGGUUUUAUACUAUGAUUGACUGGCUGCA